rnacentral:rRNA from 1 species
UGCCCGCGACGUANCGAGAAGUCCACUGAACCUUAUCAUUUAGAGGAAGGAGAAGUCGUAACAAGGUUUCCGUAGGUGAACCUGCGGAAGGAUCAUU